GGAAGCAGACUCAAAAACCCCUAACCCUAGGUGCAUCAAAUAAAAUUAAAAUAACAAGAAUAAACCCCUAACCCUAUAAAAAGCUUAUGAAUCUGACUCUUUUUCUCUAAUCGUCUAAGAAGAGACCAGCUAUGGCAGCAACAACGGUGGCGGCGCCGGAUGCAAUUUUGGUCAAUGCUGAGCUAACUAAACCCUAUACGGAAGUCAAGCUCUUCAAUCGUUGAGCUUUCAGGAUGUUUUAGUAUUUACCCUACUUAUUCUUUUUAAGAUUAGUGGACUGCAUUUGAUGUCUAUUUUUGAUUAAAUUGCUAUUAACUUAUAUUAUGAUGUUAGGUUUUGGUUAUUUUCAUUUUUGAUUUAAAUCUUGUUAUUAUGAUUUUAAGUUUGUAUCUGUUGAAACUUUCGACUUAAGUGGUAUUACGAUGUUAGCUUUUGGAUAGCCAAAUAAAUAAUCUGUUUUGAAGAAA